rnacentral:rRNA from 1 species
UACGUAGGGGGCAAGCGUUAUCCGGAAUUACUGGGCGUAAAGCGCACGCAGGCGGUUCGCCAAGUUUGGAGUGACAGUUGUCGGCUCAACCGACAGAGGACUUCAAAAACUGGUGAACUUGAGGACGAGAGAGGAACAUGGAACUCCAGGUGUAGUAGUGAAAUGCGUAGAUAUCUGGAAGAACACCAAUGGCGAAGGCAAUGUUCUGGCUCGUUUCUGACGCUCAGGUGCGAAAGCCAGGGGAGCGAACGGG